rnacentral:rRNA from 1 species
UGGGGAAUCUUGCGCAAUGGGCGAAAGCCUGACGCAGCGACGCCGCGUGAGUGAUGAAGGCCUUCGGGUUGUAAAGCUCUGUGGGGAGAGACGAAUAAGUGCAAGCUAAUACCUUGCAUGAUGACGGUAUCUCCUUAGCAAGCACCGGCUAACUCUGUGCCAGCAGCCGCGGUAAGACAGCGGGUGCAAACGUUGUUCGGAAUUACUGGGCGUAAAGCGAGUGUAGGCAGUUUCCUAAGUCAGGUGUGAAAGCCCCGGGCUCAACCCGGGAAGUGCACGUGAAACUGGGAGGCUAGAGUACUGGAGAGGUUGGUGGAAUUCUCGGUGUAGAGGUGAAAUUCGUAGAUAUCGAGAGGAACACCGGUGGCGAAGGCGGCCAACUGAACAGAUACUGACGCUGAGACUCGAAAGCGUGGGGAGCAAACA